UUAGCUAGCUACCUAGUAUGCGACAAGGCGUCAUAACCCAGCCUGACUGCGGAGCUCCCAAAUCAUGGCGCACCUUUCCGCAAACGCCAUCCUUAGGAGCAAAGUCUGUACAAAACGAGCUUGCGGCAUAGCUCGGAUCUAAACCAGCUGCACUCCCAAUGGAGGCGGACUGAUGCGAAAUCCACCACACCUUUUCUGGUGUAAAGCUGCUUGGCCAUUCUGAAUUAAGGCUUCAUCCUUUCGAAUCUCGUUCCUCGUGUAAUUUUCUCGUGGGAGUGGGAGGUGUUUUUAAACGACAUCUCUAUAUCUUGUUUGAUCUACAUCCCCAUCUUCCAUUUUAUCUGUAGCUUUAUGGAAAUAGAGAUGUAGUGCAGGAUGUCCAAAAAGUUUUAGUGCCCUUAUUAUAUUAGGACUUUGGGGAAACCCAUAGGGGAGGAAGAAGAUAAGAGAACUCAGGAAAUCUAAAAGAACAGGUAUAUUGGUAAAUAUGACUUGUUUACUUAAUCACAUAUAGGUUAAAGUGAUGUGAUAGUGACAGCAUGAACACACCUGAUGGGCCUUUAUACAAAGUGUCCCGAAAGCCUUCGUGCAGAACCCCCCCCCAAAAAAAAAAAAAACAACAGAAAAGUGCACCAAGCCGUUUGAGACACCCCAUAUAAAUGAUCAAGUGGUACCACUGGAAGAUUUUGCCACUCUCAGAAAAGGGAGAAAGAAGGAAGACAGAACCUGAGAGGGUGCUUGCUGUAGGACCCCCAGUAAUGAGUCAAACAGCAACUAGGGCGGCUUAGACACUUGCCGAAGGCAGAUCAUUUUAUAAUUUUUAAGGAAAAAAAGGUAGGACAAAUUCUUCAAAUAUCCUAAAUAGCUGU